UACAGAGGGUGCAAGCGUUGUUCGGAAUUAUUGGGCGUAAAGCGCGUGUAGGCGGCUUUGCAAGUCGGGUGUGAAAGCCCUCAGCUUAACUGAGGAAGUGCGCCCGAAACUGCUUGGCUUGAGUACCGGAGAGGAUGGCGGAAUUCCCCAAGUAGAGGUGAAAUUCGUAGAUAUCGGGAGGAACACCUGUGGCGAAGGCGGCCCCCUGGUGGAUACUGACGCUGAUACGCGAAAGCGUGGGGAGCAAACAGGG
rnacentral:rRNA from 1 species